ensembl:lncRNA
CUCUAACAAUAUAUGUAACGUAAAAGGAGGAGAAAUUGAAAUUUAUGAAUGGCACGUAAGGAAAGACUGCACGUACAAAUCAAAAUCUUGCUGGAGGGGAAAAAAAUGCAGAAAUAGGUAAGAAUUUGCCACUUCUUCUAGUAGAUAGCUUCUGUCAUGAGAUUUUGAUGAGUUCUUGCUUUAAAACACAGAUGCAAGACCUACGUUCUGCUGUUUUGCUUUGGUUGUGGCCAAACAACCAGAAUAGGACUAUCAGGAUUUCCAUUUAUGAUUCAUGCAAUUAUCUUGCCACAGUGAUAAAUCUGAGGAACAGAUAGUUGAAGGUCAGUGCCUGAGGUGGUUUGCCUGCUGAUUGGAUAUGUAUGCUACUGCACAGCUGUUGUUACUCUGCCAAUUCUGCCAAUCUGGCAGUGCCCUCAGUUACCUCAGCAGUUGCUUUACCCACCUCAGGUAAUGAAGUUUCUUCAUAGCCGUAUGGAUGCUUCUAAAAGUUUUCUGCCUCUUUGGCUUAGUGAAUUUCAUUUGCACAGUGGCAGCUGCUGCCAUUUGGGUGUUGGGGGCGGUGUGGUCAUGAAGUACUUUGCCCCAGCUGCAAUCCGUUUGGCUUUCACCUCUUCAGUCACUGCAGUUCACUUCCAAAUAAUACUUUUUAUGGAUGGAUUACAGAUGUGAGUUCUCAAUGAGGUGUAAUAUAAAGCUAUUACAUUUAUAUUGUCAACAACAUGAAUUCCGUGGGUAGCUUCAGAUGUGCUAGAGGAGAUGAACGUGGGUGAUUAUUGUAGUCCAGUUCUCUAAUCAUGCAAUAAAAGUGUGAACUCCUUGUUCUACUUGUGUGUCCAGGUGCUGUUUCAUCUUCAAACUAUUUAGAUAUCUGCAAUCGUUCUAGAUUACACACUUUGAUGCAAACUAGAAUUACUCAAAUGUAUGCAUAAGCUUACCAUGUGGCACAGUUAGCAGUCAGGUGCUGAUCGGAUGAAAGAUAUUCUAGAGCUUGAAAUUGAAGUUAACUGAAAUAGAUCUUAAAUAACAUGGAAACAGAGUUUUGAGAAGGCCAGAAUAAAGUGGAGCAGAAGAGAAAAGCUGAAUAUGAGCUCUUUUGUUGCUGAUCCGUAAAAAACGAUAGGUGAAUCUGAUGUUCUGUUAACCUUCUAAAGAAGCUGACUCAUCAGAUGGCACACCGAGUUUUGGUUUGAAAUAUGGACUUUGAUGGAGAAACUGCUGCUUGCUUGUAUGGAGGUUCUUUUCAAAACAGCAAAUGAUAUUUGCAGUGUUAGAUGGAUUGUUUUUAUUGUAUAUGUUAAAAAGGAAAGCAGGUAAUGAAGUAACUGUGUUUUAGGCUACAUUCAUACACUUUUUUAUAAAUGUGUUGAUAUGUUCGAAUUUGUCACUUAACGUACUUGGAUAACUGAUUUUAAACAUGAAAAUUACAGUAUGAGCUUACAUCUUGAAAUCUGAACCAACUCCAGUGAAAAAUAAGUCAGUCUGUCUUGGAUUCAAAACAUUUUCAUCUUGAAUAUGACGCCAUCUGACCUACCUUUGUAUCAGGUAAGUCUUCAGUGGACUAACAGGACAUUUGCAGGAUACCUUGAAGUUUGUUAACGCUGUUUCAUCAUCUUCGUCUUGAAGUGCAGAUUCCAUUUUCUGUGUAGUUCAAAUCUAGUGUAAGAUUCUAUUUUUCUUUUUUCCUAACAAGUAUGGCUGUACUGCAAUGGAAGAUAGAAGUAGCUAUUCUUUCUUUGUUGUGAUGAAGCAAAUGGAAAUAAAAAUUGUCACCUGGCAGAUUUAAAAGCACAGGAAGGAAAUUUGUUUGCACAAGGUCUUUUGAUAGAUCAGCAGGCAGUGGGGACAAACAGGAGGUUCCCUCUGAACACCAGGAGCACUGCUGUGCUGUGCAGGUGAUGGAGCACUGGCAGAGGCUGCACGGAGGCUUUGGGGUCUCCUCCUUGGGGAUAUGCCAAAGUCACCUGAACGUGGCCCUGGGCUCCCUGCUCUGGGUGUCCCUGCUGGAGCAGUGCUUGGGCCAGAGGGACCCAGAGGUCCCUGCCAGCCUUAAGUCUUUGAUGUAAAUAAAGCUUUGCUUUUCUUGGUCUAUAUGAAUCAAUGUAACAGGCUUUUUAUGUUAAAUACUUAUUUACUAGGUUUCCUUUUAAUACAAAGGUAUAAAUCAUUUAGUAUUGCUACAUUACAUUCUAAAGUGGAAUGCUUCAAAGAUGAAAGUUCUUUGAGUUCUUUGAGAAACUCGAAUUGCAGCUCUAUAAAGACUGUACAACUGCAGCCUGCCCUUCCCUUGCCCCCAGCGCAGUCUUAUGGCUUCUGAAGUUGUAGCCCCACAGAGAUCACUAAUUCUUCUCUCAUUAUUUUGGAAGAGGAAGUUAGGACACGGGCCUAACUUGGCACCUGCUGCAAAAAUGUCAGGUAAGGAAUCUUAAAGGAGGGAAGGGGGAACAUUGUGUGAAGUUAUAUAAUGCAGCAUUGCUAACAUUUCAGAAGUGUGUGCUCUGUAUAUCAGUUUUAUAAUUCCUUAGCUGCUUUUUUUUUGUUUGUUUGUUUUAAUAUUGAAGUUGGAUUAUGCAGAAUCCAGGAAGUUUUCCUUGAGAAGAGAUUCCCUCGCCCUCGCUUUCUGAAGAUGUAAAAUAUCCUCAAAGUAUUAAGAUAAUCACAUCCCAGCUACAUGUAAAUAUGGAGAGCGUAUGCUGUUGUUCAGUGUGUUAAAAUGUAAGAUCUGAGAAAAAUGGCAUAUAGACUCCGACUGUACGCAUCCUUCGUUACUUCAAACGUUUUUACAGUGGUUUGUAAAUCAGGCUUUGUCAGCAUUGAUAAAACUACACAUUUUUUUCUCUUGAUUUUUCUGCAUGGCUAUUUCAUCUCAGCAUAAUUGUAAUCUUGUUUGGGCAGCGCAUAGCACAGUGUCGUCCUGACUUCUGCCUUUGUUGGAGCAGUAGGGUGAUGCUGGUUGUACUCAAACACAUGCUAGUUGUGCUGAUCUAACUGUAUCUAGUUCACAGCAGACAUAAUUUGUUCCAAGCUCUGGACAGUACUGUGCUUGGCUGAAGUCACUCAGAGUUUCUAGAACUUAACAUGAGUUCAUGAAGUUUUAACAGUACCUACAGUGCUGACAGAACUGUUUCAGAUGCUUUUGAUCUGUCAAGUUUCUUAACUUGUCUAUAUCACUUACUGGGUGAAAGAUAGGGUAAGAGUUAAAG